rnacentral:rRNA from 1 species
GAUGAACGCUGGCGGCGUGCUUAACACAUGCAAGUCGAACGAAGCAUUUAAGACAGAUUACUUCGGUUUGAAGUCUUUUAUGACUGAGUGGCGGACGGGUGAGUAACGCGUGGGUAACCUGCCUCAUACAGGGGGAUAGCAGCUGGAAACGGCUGGUAAUACCGCAUAAGCGCACAGUACCACAUGGUACAGUGUGAAAAACUCCGGUGGUAUGAGAUGGACCCGCGUCUGAUUAGCUUGUUGGCGGGGUAACGGCCCACCAAGGCGACGAUCAGUAGCCGACCUGAGAGGUGACCGGCCACAUUGGGACUGAGACACGGCCCAG